ensembl:snoRNA SNORD29 Small nucleolar RNA SNORD29
UUUCUAUGAUGAUUAAAACUAGCUCACUUUGAUUUGCACGAUGAAAAUAAGUGAACACCUGAGGAAC